rnacentral:lncRNA from 1 species
GUGCUCUGUCGCUGCAGCUCAGCUGGAACGGGCAGGGACAGGGGAUGCUGAAGCACAGCUCUCUCCUCUCCGUGACCACAUCAGGCAGCCUCACCAGAACCUCCCAUCUGUGGGUCUGCAGGGCCACGGACAGCCUCAGCCAUUCCUCCAGCCGUCCUGAUGUCAACUGGCAAAUGACAAAACCAGCCCAGCAAUAAGGAAACUUGCAAAGAAAAACAGCAAAGAUGCCACCCUGGCAAACAGCGCAUCCUUCAGUCCUCCAAAAUGCCAGCAAAGAUGUUCUCUUCAGCAGAGGUCUCCAUAUGGGAAAUAUUAGAAGAAUUGUCACUUAGUAAACUCUCUAUUAUUGAGAAAGGACACAAAAUAAACUGUUUCAUCUGCCUUUCAAGCCAACAUCUCCAGAAGCAAUUCUAUGAAGACUUUUUUACAUUUAGAGAUUACCAGUGAAUAGCUAAUUGACUUAAUCAUCCUAAACUGCCCCUCCCUAAAUAAGAGCUCUUGGAGGCACUGUUUCCUAAAGAAAAUAAGGGAGAAAAGCCAAGAAAAACAAGAUGUUUCUAUUCUCAGAAUUUAAUUUCCUACAGCGAUACACAGUGAUAUGGUGGAGGAUGACACACAAGUGAUAGAAGGAUUAUCAGCAAGUUGUGAAGCUAUGAAAACUACUCAGAUUCAAAAAUGAAUGUUAUCUACAUUCAAAGCAAUUCAUAAGGGAAGCUGGGAAGCAGUGGAACAAUGUAUUUGGUAACUUAUGAAAGGAUUUCCAAAAGUAACCGCUCGUUAUAUCUGCUUGCACGAGGUGGGGAAGACAUCCAUCCCGUUGC